AUUGAUUUUAAAUAAUCUCUAUGUCCAACAUGGGGCCUGAACUCACAACCCUGAGAUCAAGUCACAUGCUCUACCAACUGAGCCAGU
rnacentral:snoRNA from 1 species